rnacentral:lncRNA from 1 species
UUUGGUUUUACUCAGAUAACCCAGCUCUAGACAGCAGAGAGAUGAGCUGUAGGCAUAGGGAGACAUGCAGCAUCUUUGCUGGGAUGGCUGUGAUAUUUGCAACACCUGUCAAUCUCUCCCUUCAUCCAGCCCUUGGAAGAAGGAGCCAGCAGCAGAGCAACAAAGAGCACAAAGCACCAAAACACCAGAUCCCAUGCCUGUGUCCAAGAGCCCAGAGGGAUGCCACUGCUGUUGCCAACCUACUGAACUUGAAAAUCUAAGAUGGCAGAGCCUGCAGGCAACUGAGGUCAGAGAAAACACAUCAAGGUUAAACACCUGAUGUUUUAAAAGCGCCGAAUGCUGUGAUUUCUAGGUGGACACCUAGAAAUAACUUGUGAUGCCCUGUGAGCCGUCCCUUCCCUAGGGAAGCUGCAGCCAGGAAUGCUGCAGGAGAGCUGAGGUUGCCAGGCACUUCCAGCAGUAUAAACCAGAGUGAUGCCAAGAGAGCUGGAAAGCAGGGAGUGUGCCAACCACAAAAUUAAUCUCUGAGUUAAUAAAAGCCUGCAUGGUUUGAGGUUUGUGAAGCA